UCGAGAAUCUUGGGCAAUGCGCGAAAGCGUGACCCAGCAAUGCCGCGUGCGGAAUGAAGGUCUUCGGAUUGUAAACCGCUGUCACCCGGGACGAAAAAAAUGACGGUACCGGGGGAGGAAGCCACGGCUAACUACGUGCCAGCAGCCGCGGUAAUACGUAGGUGGCGAGCGUUGUUCGGAUUUAUUGGGCGUAAAGGGUCCGCAGGAGGUUUGUUAAGUUUGGGGUGAAAUCCCGGGGCUCAACCCCGGAAUUGCCUUGGAGACUGACGAACUAGAGUGCUGGAGAGGUAAGCGGAAUUCCAGGUGUAGCGGUGGAAUGCGUAGAUAUCUGGAAGAACACCAAAAGCGAAGGCAGCUUACUGGACAGUCACUGACUCUCAGGGACGAAAGCGUGGGGAGCAAACA
rnacentral:rRNA from 1 species